GAUGAAGAACGUAGCGAAAUGCGAUAAGUAAUGUGAAUUGCAGAAUUCAGUGAAUCAUCGAAUCUUUGAACGCACCUUGCGCUCCUUGGUAUUCCGAGGAGCAUGCCUGUUUGAGUGUCAUUUAAUUCUCAACCCCUCCGGUUUUCUUAAGCUGGCUAGGUGGUUUGGAUGUGGGGGAAUUCAUAUGCGGGCCUCUUCAGAGGUCGGCUCCUCUGAAAUGCAUUAGCGGAACCGUUUGCGGUACUGUCACUGGUGUGAUAACUAUCUACGCCAAAGGACGUCUGCUCUCUGGUAGUUCUGCUUCAAAUUGUCCCUCUGCUUGGGACAACGAAUAAUUCAAAUGCUUGACCUCAAAUCAGGUAGGACUACCCGCUGAACUUAAGCAUAUCAAUAAGCGGAGGA
rnacentral:misc_RNA from 1 species